UACGGAGGGUGCAAGCGUUAAUCGGAAUUACUGGGCGUAAAGCGUGCGCAGGCGGUUUGUUAAGUCUGCUGUGAAAUCCCCGAGCUCAACUUGGGAAUUGCAGUGGAUACUGGCAGGCUGGAGUACGGUAGAGGAAGGUGGAAUUCCCGGUGUAGCAGUGAAAUGCGUAGAGAUCGGGAGGAACACCAGUGGCGAAGGCGAUCACCUGGGGUUGUUCUGACGCUGAGGAGCGAAAGCUAGGGGAGCAAACGGG
rnacentral:rRNA from 1 species